rnacentral:rRNA from 2 species
CACCGCGGUUAUACGAGAGGCCCAAGUUGAAAGACCCCGGCGUAAAGAGUGGUUAAGCUAGAAUUUAUACUAAAGCCGAAUAUCCUCACGGCUGUUAUACGCCCCCGAAGAUAAGAAGCUCAGCCACGAAGGUAGCUUUAUUUGUCUGAACCCACGAAAGCUACGGCA